GAUGAACGCUGGCGGCGUGCCUAACACAUGCAAGUCGAGCGAACAGACGAGGAGCUUGCUCCUCUGACGUUAGCGGCGGACGGGUGAGUAACACGUGGAUAACCUACCUAUAAGACUGGGAUAACUUCGGGAAACCGGAGCUAAUACCGGAAAAUAUAUUGAACCGCAUGGUUCAAUAGUGAAAGACGGUUUUGCUGUCACUUAUAGAUGGAUCCGCGCCGCAUUAGCUAGUUGGUAAGGUAACGGCUUACCAAGGCGACGAUGCGUAGCCGACCUGAGAGGGUGAUCGGCCACACUGGAACUGAGACACGGUCCAGACUCCUACGGGAGGCAGCAGUCGGGAAUCUUCCGCAAUGGGCGAAAGCCUGACAGAGCAACACCGCGUGAGUGAUGAAGGUCUUCGGAUCGUAAAGCUCUGUUGUUAGGAAAGAACAAAAGUAUAUGUAACUAUGCACGUCUUGACGGUACCUAAAGAAUAAGCCACGGCUAACUACGUG
rnacentral:rRNA from 1 species